GUAAGGUGUAUUUUUAUUAUUAGUGAAAAAAUUUUUUAGUUUUAUUAGAUUUUAUUGAAAAAAUUAUAUUAAUUAUAGUUAAAAGUAUUGUGAAAGACUAUUUUAUUUAUUUUUAUAAGAAAAUUUAAUUUAUUGUACCUUGGGUAUCAGGGUUAAUUAAAUAUAUUUUAAAAAUUUAAUUUUCUCGAAUUUAAAUGAGCUAAGUAGGUAUUUAUUUUGUUGUGAAAUAAAUAUUUUUAAUAUUUAUUUAGUAAUGAAACGUUAAUCGUAUUUAAGUAUAUCUAGUUUUCUAAGAAAUAAAUUUAAUUUAAUUUUGAGUUUAUAAUAAUUAUUAUUUUUUAUUUUUAUUGUUAAUUUAAUUUUUAUAAUUAAAGGGAUAAGCUUUUAAUUAAAGAUUUAUAAAAUAAGGUUGUUAUAAGUAAGUAGUAGGAUUAGAAGCUUCUUUCUAUUUAAGUAUGUAAUAAUUAUAUUUAUUUUAUUUUUAAUAUUUAUAUUAUAUUUUGUUUUUAAGUUUUUUAUUAGAAUAUAAUUUUUAAUUUUUUAAAAUUAGGGAUAAUGAUUAAAUUAGUAAAAUUUUUUGGUAUUUAUAAUUUUUAUUUUUUUUUAGGUUAUAUUAAGGAAUUCGGCAAAUAUGUUUUUCACCUGUUUAAUAAAAACAUGUCUUUUUGAUGUUAAUUUAAAGUCUAGUCUGCCCAAUGAUAGUAUUAGUGUUUAAUGGCUGCAGUAUUUUGACUGUACAAAGGUAGCAUGAUCAUUAGUUUUUUAAUUGAAAACUGGUAUGAAUGGCUGGAUGAGAAAACUUCUGUCUCAGUAUAAUUUGUUUUGAAUUUUAUAUUUAAGUUAAAAAGCUUAAAUUUUUUAAAAAGACGAGAAGACCCUUUAGAGUUUUAUAUAUAAUUUUAUAUUUAUAAUUAAGUAUUUUGUUUUUAUAUUUUUAUAUAUUUUGUUGGGGUGAUAGUAAAAUUUAUUUAACUUUUAUUUUUAUUUUUCACUAAUGAGUGUUUUUUUGAUCCUAUUAUUUAGAUUAUAAGAAAAAAUUACCUUAGGGAUAACAGCGUAAUUUUUUUUGAGAGCUCAAAUCGAAAAAAGAGAUUGCGACCUCGAUGUUGGAUUAAAAUUUAUGUUUGGUGUAACAGCUAAAUGAUUAGGUCUGUUCGACCUUUAAAAUUUUACAUGAUCUGAGUUUAAACCGGCGUAAGCCAGGUUGGUUUCUAUCUUUUAAUAAUAUAAAAUGUUUUAGUACGAAAGGACCAGAUAUUUAAAUAAUUGAUUAUUUAUGUUAUUGAUUUAAAAUAAUUUAC
rnacentral:rRNA from 1 species